GGGGAUAUUGCACAAUGGGGGGAACCCUGAUGCAGCGACGCCGCGUGGGUGAAGGAGUGUUUCGGCGCGUAAAGCCCUAUCGGCAGGGAAGAAGGAGGACGGUACCUGACUAAGAAGCCCCGGCUAACUACGUGCCAGCAGCCGCGGUAAUACGUAGGUGGCGAGCGUUAUCCGGAAUCAUUGGGCGUAAAGAGGGAGCAGGCGGCCUGGAGGGUCUAUUGUUAAAAGGCAGUGGCUUAACCAUUGCAAGGCGAAGAAACCGGCAGGCUAGAGUUCUAAAGAGGAUCGUGGAAUUCCAUGUGUAGCGGUGAAAUGCGUAGAUAUAUGGAGGAACACCAGUGGCGAAGGCGACGAUCUGGGAAGAAACAGACGCUGAGUCCCGAAAGCGUGGGGAGCAAAUAGG
rnacentral:rRNA from 1 species